rnacentral:rRNA from 1 species
GACGAACGCUGGCGGCGUGCUUAACACAUGCAAGUCGAACGGAAAGGCCCUGCUUUUGUGGGGUGCUCGAGUGGCGAAAGGGUGAGUAACACGUGAGUAACCUGCCCUUGACUUUGGGAUAACUUCAGGAAACUGGGGCUAAUACCGGAUAGGAGCUCCAGCUGCAUGGUGGGGGUUGGAAAGUUUCGGCGGUUGGGGAUGGACUCGCGGCUUAUCAGCUUGUUGGUGGGGUGGUGGCUUACCAAGGCUUUGACGGGUAGCCGGCCUGAGAGGGUGACCGGCCACAUUGGGACUGAGAUACGGCCCAGACUCCUACGGGAGGCAGCAGUGGGGAAUAUUGCACAAUGGGCGGAAGCCUGAUGCAGCAACGCCGCGUGCGGGAUGACGGCCUUCGGGUUGUAAACCGCUUUCGCCUGUGACGAAGCGUGAGUGACGGUAAUGGGUAAAGAAACACCGGCUAACUACGU